rnacentral:lncRNA from 1 species
AAAUUGUUGGUUAAACCACCGCAUGAAUGGACUAUGGAGGGAACAGCCGAAUUAAAGUUGUACUGUCUUAUAUCAUAUAAGGAGAGAUUCAUUUUCGUUUCCCUCGUUUGUAUCGCCACCUUCUGGCUUUCUCUUCAAUUCUAUCGCCCAUUUUCCUCUAAAGAAGCCUAAUAAUUUCUCNUUUCCCUCGUUUGUAUCGCCACCUUCUGGCUUUCUCUUCAAUUCUAUCGCCCAUUUUCCUCUAAAGAAGCCUAAUAAUUUCUCAUACAUCAUUCGUAAAUUUCAUCAAUCGCAUUAAAUUCUCCACUUCAUUUGUUGUUUUUAAUUAUUUGCAUAAUAAACGUAUUGG